GAGAUGGGUCUGAAGGGGGCUUGGUGUUUCCCAUGGUGUGGGUGCCGGAGACAUCGGGGGACGGAAGGAGGAACAGGCCUGGAACCUGCUUCCCGCCCUGACCCUAGCCCAGCUGUAGCCCCCACUGUGACUGGAGGACUGUCCUCUCCAGGGGCCGGUGCCUACUUAAGCCGGAAGGCUCGGCUCUCCUUCCGCCACCAGCUACAUGACGUGGCAUCAGCCAACGACUCUACCAUUUGAAGGGACAAGCAGGGGCUACACUUUACUCCAGGAAGUCUUGGCAACCUUCUGUCACCACCUUUCUCAGUGGUCCCAAGUCUGUCACGACCUCAUUAAAUUUGUUCAGAGUUGCAAA